rnacentral:rRNA from 1 species
AGAGUUUGAUCCUGGCUCAGGGCGAACGCUGGCGGCAGGCUUAACACAUGCAAGUCGAGCGGGCGUAGCAAUACGUCAGCGGCAGACGGGUGAGUAACGCGUGGGAACGUACCUUUUGGUUCGGAACAACACAGGGAAACUUGUGCUAAUACCGGAUAAGCCCUUACGGGGAAAGAUUUAUCGCCGAAAGAUCGGCCCGCGUCUGAUUAGCUAGUUGGUGUGGUAACGGCGCACCAAGGCGACGAUCAGUAGCUGGUCUGAGAGGAUGAUCAGCCACAUUGGGACUGAGACACGGCCCAAACUCCUACGGGAGGCAGCAGUGGGGAAUAUUGGACAAUGGGCGCAAGCCUGAUCCAGCCAUGCCGCGUGAGUGAUGAAGGCCCUAGGGUUGUAAAGCUCUUUUGUGCGGGAAGAUAAUGACGGUACCGCAAGAAUAAGCCCCGGCUAACUUCGUGCCAGCAGCCGCGGUAAUACGAAGGGGGCUAGCGUUGCUCGGAAUCACUGGGCGUAAAGGGUGCGUAGGCGGGUCUUUAAGUCAGGGGUGAAAUCCUGGAGCUCAACUCCAGAACUGCCUUUGAUACUGAGGAUCUUGAGUUCGGGAGAGGCGAGUGGAACUGCGAGUGUAGAGGUGAAAUUCGUAGAUAUUCGCAAGAACACCAGUGGCGAAGGCGGCUCACUGGCCCGAUACUGACGCUGAGGCACGAAAGCGUGGGGAGCAAACAGGAUUAGAUACCCCAGUAGUCC